GCAUAUCAAUAAGCGGAGGAAAAGAAACCAACAGGGAUUGCCUCAGUAACGGCGAA
rnacentral:rRNA from 1 species